UAAGUUCUGCAAUAAACAUUGAACCACUCCGGCCCUCGAUUAGUACCGAUCUUUAAAUUUCGGCCCACUGUGUAUUUGAGUUUGACCCCCCUGAUCUAUCUCUAUCGUUUAUUUUCUAUUCUGAAGAGUUUUUUACAUAAGUGCCAUGUUUAGUUUUGAAAAACACUUGCUUAGUAGCAGAUGUUUUUUUGACAUGUAUCCCGAGUCUUUGUCCUCUAACAGUUUGUUAAACAUUGUUUCAGCUGGUGGAUUUUGAAGCCAUGACAACACCCAGUCCAGAAAGCUUCAGUAAAACAGCCAAGAACUGGAUGAACCUCAUGAGUUUACCAGUUUGGUACCAGAGUCUUCCUUCUGUAGCAGAGACGUUCCCGUCCAGCAGAACGAUGAUCGAGGUUCUCAACACAGACUCAUCCUCACACUGUCCCAAGAAGUCCUAACAAAACUUCAGGAGUCUGUUCUGUCUUAAUAACGGAGCUGCUGCACUGAGCAGGACAGAGUCUUCUUCUGCAUCCCAAACUAAACCCCCAAAGCAUCUGAGCUCUAACGGUCAUUCCCUACAUUUUAAAUGCAUAUUGUUUCUUCCACACAUUUGGGAACCUGGUCUAUUGGGCUUGGCUAAAAACGAAGGUAAUACCAAUUGAAAACGUGUAUUUAAAAAAAAUACUUUUCCUCUGAGAAAUCAUUGCUUUUUCUUUGGUUCUGAAAUAUAUCUUAUUUGGUAUACAAUGACUUCCUACUCAGUAAUCCUCUCUUAUUCACACGUUUUAAGGUGUGAACGUGCAUACUUGAGCAUUCAUCCAGCAGGUGCACACAAUGUUUUCAUUACAUUUGAACAUUUAUUUGGCACGCUAGACUAUAAUUACCGUAGUAGCAGCAAAACAACUGCAACAACAGUCCCUGCCACACUUUGUUCAGAUGCUUGUGUCAACAUGUUCACGUGAAACUACACAUUUUCCCUCUCAGCUGUAGUCAAUCUAUAUUGUUUUGUCAAAGCGUUUUAGAGAAUAUUCACUAUAGAGAUGUCUGCCUUAUUUUUUAUAUAAAAGAAACCAACAUGGCAUUCUGUUUGUUGAGCUUAAUGAGUCCAAAGAUGUUUUUUAACUCAAAAGGAAAGACCUUGUUGGAGGAACUGUUUUAUUUCUACAGUACACCACCUGCCAGCAGUAUCAUUGCACCGAAGGAAGGAAAUAACGCUCUCCAUGAGGCUGUUGAGUUUCUCACAUGUUUCUUUUGAGCACCACAAGCAGAGGGCUAUUUAGUUCCAUUAUGUUAUGGACAAGGCAGACAUCUCUAUGAUCAGUAUCUCAAACGUUUCGCAACACACCCGAACUACAACCUAUAUUUGCGUAAUGGAACAGGUAAGAGGACAAAUAUUUUGUUUCCGCUUGACUUGUCCCCUUUCAUUGGACAGUAUGUCAAGUUUACACAGUUUCAAAUUGAUUUGGAUUUAGUUCAGGUACGAAAACAUAAUGAAAUCUUUUGGUGCUACCUUGUUUCAGUCCCAAUAUUCACACACUCCAGCUGUUUGGGUGAAGGUGACGGAGAAAGUGUCUUAGUUUGGGAUGCAGAACGGAUUCUGUCCACCCGCAUCUGUUUCUCUGCCUUAUAGGCCUUCACACUGAAACACACAACACACACAGUCCUCCAUCUCAGCAGGAACAAGUCAAGGUUAUUAAAUUAAUACAUCUAAGCGUUUUUGGAUUUAAACUUAAAAUUGGAUGUUAAUUUGUGCACAUUUCCUUAACCACUAAGGUACACGCACAAACACACACACACACACACACACACACACUCUCACUCUCUCUCUCUCUCUCUCACACACACACACUCCAGCACUCCAGCCUAUCAGCAGAGAAAGAGUUUCGGGAUCUACGGAAAGUGAAAUGAUGAAUGAAAAACCUUCAGGGCUAUUGAAUUCCACUCUGGAUACUUGAAGCAGUCUCUCUUUUUUAUUUAGUUUUUUCUCGACACUCGCAGGAAGUAUGUCUUUUCGGGGCAUUGAACCCCGCUUUCUUUUAGCGUGACCAAUAAAAGGGUCGAUGGUGAGAGGGGUUGGCUGCUGAACGACUAUGAGAGCGAGAGUCAGAGGAUUUCAGAGAAUUUUCAGAGAGGCAUAAAGUCCUCAAUGAUUUGUCGAAGGAAAACCGCUUCAAAAAUAUGGUUUUUCUGAGUUUUCUGUCAUGAUAACGUGAAUUAUUUGAGUUUAAGGAAAAAAUAAACUUGAAUUUGAACAAUGUGAAAUGCAGAGUAUCGAUUUCUUUAUAUUUUAAAUCUUUUUGUUAAAUUUCAAUACUACAUUUAGGAUUCGACACAGCAGAGAAAUGGAAGAAUUGUAUUCAUGCGAAAAUAAAGAAUUCAAAAUUGUUAUAAAUAUUUUUUGCGAAAGAAGACGUCUAUACAGUUGUGUCCAUUUAUUUGAAAGAUUUAUAAAAUGGUGUUAAUGUACAUUUACAAAUAUACCACAGAUAAUAUUAAAUAUUUUUAAGAUUGGAAUAUCAUCAUAAAUAAAAUUAAAUCUCAAAAAUGAAAAAGGAUUUUCAAAACACAAGAAAAUUCAACAGAAAUUGAUCAAAUAAAUGUGUUUAUACUUAAUACAAUUAAAUAUAAUAAGACAAGCAGCAAAUCAAUAAAAAGCAAAAGAUACACCAACCAAAACAGCCACCAUUGGUUUUUGGGAUAUAAUACUUGAUAAUAAUCGAUUGUUUUGAGUUUUAGCGUAAUGUCUUUAAGCGAUGUGCUGUGGUGGAAAGACUUUAAAAAGAAGCAUAAUAAGCUGCGUUCAGUUAUAUGUCUCAUACCAAAAAUACAUAUGAGUAAGGGUAUCAUAUAGUAGUCUGAUUUGAAAAGCACUAAAGCAGUAAAUGUCCCUUUUUUUUAAAGUGAAAUAAGUACAAAAAAAACAAAUCAGAGCAACAUGAAUAGACUCCUGAAUAUUCUCUGACUCCUCUGACUGCUGGGUCUCGUAAAGGAUUAAUUAAAGAUGGCGGUAAACACACUGUCAUCGUCUUUGCUAUCAUUCCCUUCUUGAACUGGAUGCCAUCUGUGUCUCUCUCAUCUCCGGAUUUUCUUUUGCCCUCAUGGAUUAAAUGUGCCGUCACAAGCUGUUCUGUAAGAGCAUUACUUUGGGAGAAAAGAGCUCCAAAAGUCUUAAAAACACUGUCUGU